AAGGCCCUGGGAGCACUGACAACCUGCCGGAUGCAGAGCUCCCUCCUCAGAGCCUUCCUCCUCCUCUGCAGCUCUGAGACAUGGGGAUUCUGGGGGAACGUGACUGAGCCCAGCUCCCGGGGUUGCCCGGAGACAGGAGCAGGUCUCCGAGACCUCCUGUACCCAGGCUCCCCACAGAGCCUGCCCAUGGCCCCUGGGACUCUCCCCUGGCCUCCCUGGGCGGGAGCCGGUGAGGUCAGGGGCCAGGAACGUGGCUGCAGCCACGAGGCGGGAGUUAGUGACUGAGGAGCUUGGAAUGUACUGCCUCUGAAAGGACCUCCUGUGGCUCCACCGACGGUUAGAGCAGGAAGGGACUUUCAGAGCCAUGUAAUCACACACACACACACACACACACACACACACACACACAGGAGACCUGCGCCCCGCUCAGUCACUGGCCCAGGUGCUUGGGGGGUGGGCAGGCAGAUGGAUGGAGGCAAGGCUGACCUGAUUCAGGCCUGAUGAGCGACACAGGUGUUUCGAGACUGUGCCUCCUCAAGGUCAGAGCUGAAACAUAAGCACUGAGUAGCACAAGGCAGGGGAGCACCAGGCUGGUCACCACCCCUGAGCGCGCAGCAAUUCACAGCUUACCGAGCACUUUCCAUUGUGAUCUCACUGAUCCCACAGCAGCCCCGUGAGGUCAUCAGGAGCUCCGUUCUUCCCACAGGGACUGGGGCUCCGAGGGAAGGUCAACACCGAGGGCCACAGAGACAGAAAGUGGCGGCUCCAGGUCAGGACGCCCCGGGCUGUAAGUCCUGCUUGUACCCACAGACCCUGCCCUGCCCUCUGUCCCCGAGGAAGACCAUCUAGGUCCCCCGCCCCUGGAAUCCACCCCC